rnacentral:tRNA from 1 species
AGUGAGAUGCCUGAGAAAAGGGCUAUUUUGAUAGAAUAGAUUAUGAAAAAUUUUUCUCUCACUA